rnacentral:lncRNA from 10 species
GGGGCUGCAGCUUUGAGACUGUCCACUCCCCGGAGCACACGAGCUGUUUGGCAUGAUUCUCAGAGUCACUUCCAAGAGCCUGCCCUCCGGUCCUCCCACGGGCUCUCUAAGAAACUAACUCUCCUAUUCAGUUCCUUUCUCUUCAGACUUCUGAGAGUGGCUUCUGUGCAACCGCAUGUGACACUGACAGCCAUACAAACUCCAGCGGUCCUGAGGUAGAAGGGCCCCAAUGAAACCACGUCUUAUGUUGAAAUGCUUUCAUGCAGGACUUCACAAAGCUACAGAACAGGUUCAUCUCUAGGGUAAGCUCAAAUGGGAGGAACACAGCGUGUGCACAAGGCUCCAGUGUGAUCAGCUGCAUCAUGUUGCUACGCUCUGUCACCUUUGCUUUUCUGCAAAUGAAGGUGAGGAUUCACUAGAAAGCUGUGUUUAACUCUGCAACAAGUGGAAAACAGAGAUUACUUAUUAUGCAGGAAGAUAAUAACUACAAAACAGGGCUGCACUUUAAGUCAUCCAAGACAUGCUUCUGUCCAGUACAUAAAUGCUUUUGACAAGGAUGGAAGGAAGAAGGGAAAGAGUAAAAGAGAUAAAUUAACAGACAGAACCCAAAAGAAAGAGAACAAACAAGGAGGACUUAAGGAGAGCACUUUCGCUCUCUCUAUUUCACUGCAAUCCCAGCUUCUAUGUUCAAAGAGACCACAUUUGUGUUACCUACACGAGCACAACUGCAUUAUAUGACAAAUCCAGAAAACAAGAUGCAUGACCUAAUAAAAGCAAGCAAUCGCUAAAACUGUUAAUUUGAAAUAAAGACCACAUUUCCUCAAGGAAUAUUUCUCUCACUAUUUUGCAUAGGGGAAAAAAGAUAAAUUCACAUUUAACAGGAUGAUGAUGUGACUGACAGCAGAAGCAACAACUCUCAACCAAGAUCUGCAUCUGUCAUGCUUGGGACCUUUUUAAGAGGCUGUCUCCUCUUUCCUCACACUCACAAUCUGAGCUCAGAAGUCUUAUAAUCAUGAGCAAGUGUAUUUUUUUUUAAAUAAAUGCCUAAAUUUACUAAGUAAUUUACCAGAUAUGUUCAAAUUUCUUCCCCCUUUCCAUCCAGUAGACAGUUACUUAUAAAGCAUUUACACCAAUAGUCUGUUAAGAAAAUAAUUAUUUAAUUUGUAAUGUUUUCUUAUAUUUUGUCUUCUGUUUUCACAUGUCCUAAGCAGUCCAGCCUCCACUUUUUAAAAUCUUUGAAAAUACUUUUUAAUUGUAAAUUGACAAUUCACAAUUGCAUAAAUGUAUGGGGUACAAAGUAAUGUUAUGAUUGAUUAAUAAAAUGUGGAAUAAUUAAA